rnacentral:rRNA from 1 species
UACGAAGGGGGCUAGCGUUGCUCGGAAUCACUGGGCGUAAAGCGCACGUAGGCGGCUUUCUAAGUCAGGGGUGGAAUCCUGGAGCUCAACUCCAGAACUGCCUUUGAUACUGGAGAGCUUGAGUCCGGAAGAGGUGAGUGGAACUCCGAGUGUAGAGGUGAAAUUCGUAGAUAUUCGGAAGAACACCAGUGGCGAAGGCGGCUCACUGGUCCGGUACUGACGCUGAGGUGCGAAAGCGUGGGGAGCAAACAGG